rnacentral:lncRNA from 1 species
GCCAUCUGACUUCACCGCAACAUUCCAGAGGUCCCUGGAUCGGCCGAUGACAACCAAAGGGUUUUAUAUUCGGCCGAUCAGAUCCGUCAGUGAGCGAUCGCAGCCAUCGAUACUCUCCAUGGGUGAAUGUAUCAGAUAUUGAAUGUUUUUGUACAAACAUUUAAUGCUCUUUUGUUGUUACCGUGUGAAUUCAAACUUGAACGAUCCUUUCCCGCAGCUUUUCAUUCAAUAGUCCUUUACUCUGAUGGGACGCGUUCUACCAACCGUUGCUCCUCAUCUUCCUCCUCUAUAAGUAUGAGACCCCCAUGUUUCUUCUAGGGGCAUUCGCAUCUCGCCCAGCUUUCCAUUCUUAAUUUGACUAUUUCCAUACCACUAAGCCAAGCGCUAAGAUGUCUUCCUCUUCCUCCGUCAAUCAGGUAUGAAAUCCCCUUUGUUCCUCCGCCCGACGCUCAUUGAUCUAACAACGGGUGAUUG